rnacentral:rRNA from 1 species
UCUGUCUGGGGUUAUGGAAAGUCUAACCUGCCCACUGAAAUAUUAAAGGGCCGCGGUAUUAUGACCGUGCAAAGGUAGCAUAAUCAUUAGGUUUUUAAAUGGGAUCUUGAAUGAAUGGUUGGACAAAAGAAAAACUGUCUUUAUAUUAACGGCGAAUUUAACUUUUAAGUGAGAAGGSUUAAAUGAACUAGAGGGACGAUAAGACCCUAUAAAACUUUACAUUUUGGCUAAAUUUUAAAGAAUUUAAUAAAUAAAGUUUUAUUUAGUUAUUUUGUUUUGUUGGGGCGACACAAGUAAAAUUUUAGUUAACUGCUUGAACACAAAACAAUUAUAAUUGAAACAAGAUAUGAUCCUUAAUAAUGAUUAAAAGAUUAAGUUACUUUAGGGAUAACAGUGUAAUUUUUUUUGAGAGUCCAUAUCGAAAAGAGAGUUUGCAACCUCGAUGUUGAAUUAAGAUAUCUAUAUAACGCAGCUGUUAUACAAGAAGGU